rnacentral:rRNA from 1 species
UACGAAGGGGCUAGCGUUGCUCGGAAUCACUGGGCGUAAAGGGUGCGUAGGCGGGUCUUUAAGUCAGGGGUGAAAUCCUGGAGCUCAACUCCAGAACUGCCUUUGAUACUGAGGAUCUUGAGUACGGGAGAGGUGAGUGGAACUGCGAGUGUAGAGGUGAAAUUCGUAGAUAUUCGCAAGAACACCAGUGGCGAAGGCGGCUCACUGGCCCGUAACUGACGCUGAGGCACGAAAGCGUGGGGAGCAAACAGGGAUUAAGAAAC